rnacentral:rRNA from 1 species
GACGAACGCUGGCGGCGUGCUUAACACAUGCAAGUCGAACGGAAAGGCCCUGCUUUUGUGGGGUGCUCGAGUGGCGAACGGGUGAGUAACACGUGAGUAACCUGCCCUUGACUUUGGGAUAACUUCAGAAAACUGGGGCUAAUACCGGAUAGGAGCUCCUGCUGCAUGGUGGGGGUUGGAAAGUUUCGGCGGUUGGGGAUGGACUCGCGGCUUAUCAGCUUGUUGGUGGGGUAGUGGCUUACCAAGGCUUUGACGGGUAGCCGGCCUGGGAGGGUGACCGGCCACAUUGGGACUGAGGUACGGCCCAGACUCCUACGGGGGGCAGCAGUGGGGAAUAUUGCACAAUGGGCGGAAGCCUGAUGCAGCAACGCCGCGUGCGGGAUGACGGCCUUCGGGUUGUAAACCGCUUUCGCCUGUGACGAAGCGUGAGUGACGGUAAUGGGUAAAGAAGCACCGGCUAACUACGUG